UACGGAGGGUCCGAGCGUUAUCCGGAAUUACUGGGUUUAAAGGGUGCGCAGGCGCCCUGUCAGUCAGAAGUGAAAUUCCGGGGCUCAACCCCGGAACUGCUUUUGAUACUGCAGGGCUCGGAUUAAGAUGAGGUAGGCGGAAUGUGGCAUGUAGCGGUGAAAUGCUUAGAUAUGCCAUGGAACACCGAUUGCGUAGGCAGCCUACUGGACUUCAAUCGACGCUGAGGCACGAAAGCGUGGGGAGCGAACG
rnacentral:rRNA from 1 species